AACGAACGCUGGCGGCGUGCCUAACACAUGCAAGUCGAGCGCGAAAAGGGCAACCUGAGUAGAGCGGCGCACGGGUGCGUAACACGUGGGUAAUCUGCCUUAGAGUCGAGGAUAACCUUCCGAAAGGUUGGCUAAUACUCGGUAAGCUUACGGUGUCUUCGGACGCUGUGGGAAAAGUAGGCCUCUGUUUACAAGCUUACGCUCUGAGAUGAGCCCGCGGCCCAUCAGCUAGUUGGCGGUGUAACGGACCACCAAGGCAACGACGGGUAGCUGGUCUGAGAGGACGAUCAGCCACACUGGAACUGAGACACGGUCCAGACUCCUACGGGAGGCAGCAGUGGGGAAUUUUCCACAAUGGGCGAAAGCCUGAUGGAGCAACGCCGCGUGUGUGAUGAAGGUUUUCGGAUCGUAAAGCACUUUCGACUGGGACGAAAAACCUUUGGCUAACAUCCAGGGGCCUGACGGUACCAGGAGAAGAAGCACCGGCUAACUCUGUGCCAGCAGCCGCGGUAACAC
rnacentral:rRNA from 1 species